GAUGAACGCUGGCGGCGUGCCUAAUACAUGCAAGUCGAGCGAACGGACGAGAAGCUUGCUUCUCUGAUGUUAGCGGCGGACGGGUGAGUAACACGUGGAUAACCUACCUAUAAGACUGGGAUAAAUUCGGGAAACCGGAGCUAAUACUGGAUAAUAUUUUGAACCGCAUGGUUCAAAAGUGAAAGACGGUUUUGCUGUCACUUAUAGAUGGAUCCGCGCUGCAUUAGCUAGUUGGUAAGGUAACGGCUUACCAAGGCAACGAUGCAUAGCCGACCUGAGAGGGUGAUCGGCCACACUGGAACUGAGACACGGUCCAGACUCCUACGGGAGGCAGCAGUAGGGAAUGUUCCGCAAUGGGCGAAAGCCUGACGGAGCAACGCCGCGUGAGUGAUGAAGGUCUUCGGGUCGUAAAACUCUGUUAUUAGGGAAGAACAUAUGUGUAAGUAACUGUGCACAUCUUGACGGUACCUAAUCAGAAAGCAACGGCUAACUACGUG
rnacentral:rRNA from 1 species